AGCGAACGCUGGCGGCAGGCUUAACACAUGCAAGUCGAGCGGACCUUUCGGGGUCAGCGGCGGACGGGUGAGUAACGCGUGGGAACGUGCCUUCCGGUUCGGAAUAACCCUGGGAAACUAGGGCUAAUACCGGAUACGCCCUUAUGGGGAAAGGUUUACUGCCGGAAGAUCGGCCCGCGUCUGAUUAGCUAGUUGGUGGGGUAACGGCCUACCAAGGCGACGAUCAGUAGCUGGUCUGAGAGGAUGAUCAGCCACACUGGGACUGAGACACGGCCCAGACUCCUACGGGAGGCAGCAGUGGGGAAUAUUGGACAAUGGGCGCAAGCCUGAUCCAGCCAUGCCGCGUGAGUGAUGAAGGCCUUAGGGUUGUAAAGCUCAUUUAUCCGGGACGAUAAUGACGGUACCGGAGGAAUAAGCCCCGGCUAACUUCGUG
rnacentral:rRNA from 1 species